rnacentral:rRNA from 1 species
UCGGGCGGUAGCACAGAGAGCUUGCUCUCGGGUGACGAGCGGCGGACGGGUGAGUAAUGUCUGGGAAACUGCCUGAUGGAGGGGGAUAACUACUGGAAACGGUAGCUAAUACCGCAUAACGUCGCAAGACCAAAGAGGGGGACCUUCGGGCCUCUUGCCAUCAGAUGUGCCCAGAUGGGAUUAGCUAGUAGGUGGGGUAACGGCUCACCUAGGCGACGAUCCCUAGCUGGUCUGAGAGGAUGACCAGCCACACUGGAACUGAGACACGGUCCAGACUCCUACGGGAGGCAGCAGUGGGGAAUAUUGCACAAUGGGCGCAAGCCUGAUGCAGCCAUGCCGCGUGUAUGAAGAAGGCCUUCGGGUUGUAAAGUACUUUCAGCGGGGAGGAAGGUGUUGUGGUUAAUAACCACAGCAAUUGACGUUACCCGCAGAAGAAGCACCGGCUAACUCCGUGCCAGCAGCCGCGGUAAUACGGAGGGUGCAAGCGUUAAUCGGAAUUACUGGGCGUAAAGCGCACGCAGGCGGUCUGUCAAGUCGGAUGUGAAAUCCCCGGGCUCAACCUGGGAACUGCAUUCGAAACUGGCAGGCUAGAGUCUUGUAGAGGGGGGUAGAAUUCCAGGUGUAGCGGUGAAAUGCGUA